rnacentral:rRNA from 1 species
ACGGGAGGCAGCAGUGGGGAAUAUUGGGCAAUGGGCGCAAGCCUGACCCAGCAACGCCGCGUGAAGGAUGAAGGUCUUCGGAUUGUAAACUUCUUUGAUCAGGGACGAAUUUUGACGGUACCUGAAGAACAAGUCACGGCUAACUACGUGCCAGCAGCCGCGGUAAUACGUAGGUGACAAGCGUUGUCCGGAUUUACUGGGUGUAAAGGGCGUGUAGCCGGGGGAGCAAGUCAGAUGUGAAAUCUAUGGGCUUAACCCAUAAACUGCAUUUGAAACUGUUCUUCUUGAGUGCUGGAGGGGCAAUCGGAAUUCCUUGUGUAGCGGUGAAAUGCGUAGAUAUAAGGAGGAACACCAGUGGCGAAGGCGGAUUGCUGGACAGUAACUGACGGUGAGGCGCGAAAGUGUGGGGAGCAAACAGGAUUAGAUACCCUGGUA